CGAGUAAGUCAGAUGAUCGCGGACACAGUUAUCUGUGGACGAGGAAAGUCCGAGCUCCAUAGGGCAGGGUGCUGGGUAAUACCCAGUGGAGGUGACUCCAAGGAAAGUGCAACAGAGAGAUACCGCCAGACCCCUUGUUCAGUAGCAAUACUGAAUUUGUGGUGAGAACAGCUUUUAAGCUGUCUGGUAAGGCUGGAAAGGUGAGGUAAGAGCUCACCAGCAGUUAGGCGACUAGCUGGCUAUGUAAACCCCAUCUGGAGCAAGACCAAGUAGGGACUAAAAAAACGGCGGCCCGUCGUGUCCCGUGGUAGGUUGCUUGAGCCGUCUGGUAACAGCCGGCCUAGAUAGAUGAUCAUCCACGACAGAACUCGGCUUACCGACCUACUCGCUUA
rnacentral:RNase_P_RNA from 1 species